GGCGGACGGGUGAGUAAUACUUAGGAAUCUACCUAGUAGUGGGGGAUAGCUCGGGGAAACUCGAAUUAAUACCGCAUACGUCCUACGGGAGAAAGCAGGGGAUCAUUAGACCUUGCGCUAUUAGAUGAGCCUAAGUCGGAUUAGCUAGAUGGUGGGGUAAAGGCCUACCAUGGCGACGAUCUGUAGCUGGUCUGAGAGGAUGAUCAGCCACACCGGGACUGAGACACGGCCCGGACUCCUACGGGAGGCAGCAGUGGGGAAUAUUGGACAAUGGGGGGAACCCUGAUCCAGCCAUGCCGCGUGUGUGAAGAAGGCCUUUUGGUUGUAAAGCACUUUAAGCAGUGAAGAAGACUCUUCGGUUAAUACCCGGGGACGAUGACAUUAUCUGCAGAAUAAGCACCGGCUAACUCUGUGCCAGCAGCCGCGGUAAUACAGAGGGUGCAAGCGUUAAUCGGAAUUACUGGGCGUAAAGCGAGCGUAGGUGGCUUGAUAAGUCAGAUGUGAAAUCCCCGGGCUUAACCUGGGAACUGCAUCUGAAACUGUUAGGCUAGAGUAKGUGAGAGGGAAGUAGAAUUUCAGGUGUAGCGGUGAAAUGCGUAGAGAUCUGAAGGAAUACCGAUGGCGAAGGCAGCUUCCUGGCAUCAUACUGACACUGACGCUCGAAAGCGUGGGUAGCAAACAGGAUUAGAUACCCUGGUAGUCCACGCCGUAAACGAUGUCUACUASUCGUUGGGUCCCUUGAGGACUUAGUGACGCAGCUAACGCAAUAAGUAGACCGCC
rnacentral:rRNA from 1 species